AAUUCUCUACAUACACUCACCGAAUUUUUCUGCUGCAUCGCGCUAGCGCUGUAGCGUACUUUGCGGUUGCCAUACGUCGUCAGGAUAUUUCAUCAUAUUUUGGUUUCACCCCAUCUGUCAUUUGUACCAAUUGUAGAUACUGUCCCUAACAAGUCUUCAUGUUUGCAUUCUUGCCAGUGGUACUGAUACUUUUUUUUUCACAACCUCUUGUUUCAGCUGUUCCUAGUAUUGAAGCAUUACUUAUGCAAGUACUUAGAGAGGGCUGCCCAUUACAAAAGAAGAGCUUAUCACGAUGCUGUGAUUGUAUGUUUGCAAAACUGGGAAAAUUUCUGUGCUGUGGGGGCCUUAAGUAUGUGCUUAACAUUUUGAAAAAUGUGAACAGCAAAAACAGUUCAUCAGAAUUUCAAACGUCAAAAGUACUUAUUUCUGGAAAUCAGUUAAUCUACAUCCUGAUUUUCUGCUGUUUCAUCAGUCACUAUGCAGUGUGUUUGGACAACGGAAGCAUUCUUGAAUAAGACUGCCUCAGUUUAUAUCGAAGAUGUAUUGCUUGUCAUGCCUGGUGACCAACUUUACAGGACUAUGUUCAAAUUUAGAUUACAUACCUAGUAUGAAAGAGAUCAAGUAUAUUACCGAAAUUGGCUAUCUCAGUUCGCGAAUUCCGAACUCAUCCUCAGUCUGUCAUUCUGAUGCAGGGGUCCUGAAAGAAGUUGGAACGUUUUGAACCGUCUCAGCCAAUAAGUAUUAGAAAAUGGUAGGCGCUUAAUGAUGAGUUUCUUCGCUGCCCGUCAACUUACCAUCCAAGCAAGCACUGUCUGUCAAACCAUUAGCCGAAUGUAAUUAAUUCCAGUAGUUCACCAAAACAAGAGGUUAAGAAUCGUACUGAAUCAAAAGAGGUAUCUAGUCGAACCAAAUUUCAUAAUGAUAACGGUUGGAAGCCCGAAGAAAUUUUUGAAAAAUGCCUCCUGCCCAUUACCUUCAGUCGUUGCUGCUGCCUGAAAACAAAGUAUUAAAAUUUAUAUAAAUUGAAGUGCAUAUCUGGGCUCCCUUCUUUUCUGUGGCCCCGUUUCCCUUAAAUUUUUAAUAAGCCCGUAGGGGGUCAUGCCCCUACUGUGAUCAGCAGUAAACGGUUGUGAGUGCGCUGUCCGGAAAGGGGACGUGGGGGUCCCCAUGGUUCGAUGAUAUCAUUGGAGGGCUGUGGGGCUGCCCAAAAAUCCGAAUUAACGGUUAAUCGCUCACGUAAAAGCUUGUCCGCGACCUUCGCUCUUCUUCCGGCUUCUCUUAGCCACGCACCGGGUAAUCUCCCCGGUGAGUCAACUGAGGUAGUGUCUCCCCCUACCUUGGUUGACAGCAACUUUGAAAUCGGCUAUUUUGCCCUUUCAAAGUUGCAAGUCUUUAAA